AUUAAGUGUCGAUUGACACUAAUUACUGGAGAUCGACCCUUCCAAGUAACCGUCAUCACUUGUAAUCGACAUGAAACACGUGCUCAGGCUUUUCUAUAAUUCAAGAUGGCGGACACCGAUGAAGUAGUAACAUGAACAUGAGUACAGGGCAGACCAGGGGUGUGAGAUAAAACAAUCGUGUGGUUUUGUUCGCGGGCUCAAGCUUGUAAUAACAGUACAACGACGACGAACAACGACAGUACAAAAAGGGACAGAACAAGUUGCCUGAAAGAGCAAUAUCUGUUGCAGCUGAUGAAGUUCUAAGAGAGAUAGGAAUAGUUGCACAAAAGGGAUAUCCUAAUACUACAGGCAUUUGUAUCUGGGAAGCUGGCAAUGUACCUAGCACAGAUUCCUGUAGUGAAGAAGGCUUGGAGGAAUCCAGAGAACAAAGGGAAAAAAGUUACCGGAAAAGCUUUUACUGAGGAGGAAGACAGUUGUUGGCAGAGACUCAGGAAGGGUCACCAAAGAAAAAAGACAAGAGUUGUGGAAGUAGCUUUGCCAAAAGUUAAGACAAGAAAAGUGAAGCUUGCAUAGCAACAUUAUAAUGAAGAAAUGAAGCGCUAUGUCAUGGUGAGAGAGAGCAGUGGGUGGAGGACAAAGAGAGAUGUCUUUACCAAUAACUGCAAAAUUAAUGUUCCUUAAAUCCUCUGUAUCCUGAUAGACCUGUUCUUUCUUGAUGGAGCUAGCUCUAGAGGACAGUCAGCUGAAAUGAAUUACCUUGCAAACUUCCUAUUUGUGAAGAUAACUUUUCAGUUGGAGAUUAUAUUAUCAACAAACUAUCAAAGCUACAACUUUACUUACUGUCUAAGCAGAAAAGAGACCCUUAUGAUCAGAAUAAUCACAGUGGCACAGAUGAUUUGAAGCCUCACCAUUCAGCCUCUGAUUCAAAACAAAAGGAUCGGUUGGUACAAGGUCUAGUACGAAUUGGUGCUUUAUCAGCCUGUUUUUGCUUCUACACCAAACCAAGAGUGUCCCAAUCAGCACAUGCAAGGUCUACAAGAUGGCAGCUUAGAUCAUGAUUCAGACGUUAUAUUUAAAGGAUCAGAUGUUUUGUUGCUGUAGGGUGACACUGUAGUUGAUGACAUUCAGCAUGCAAAAGCCAUCCACAGACAAAUGGAAGAAGCAGUCAUGCAGUGUGGAAUUUACCUGGACGAAAUGAGAGAGCUGCCUGCUGCACAUCCUGUUGGAUGCUUGGAUAAUUGUUUCAUGAGGGUUGCUUGAGAGAAUGGCAUAAGACAGCUGAUAACAGUGCUAUAAAGUGUACUAUUUGUGAGGAAUAUUUUGAAGAUAUUGUGGUUCAAUCUAUACUAUCCCCCACGAGUCCCAGCAGAGGAAAUAAUGCAGAUGUAGAUGCUGUACAUGUAGAG